rnacentral:rRNA from 1 species
UACGGGGGGGCAAGCGUUGUUCGGAAUUACUGGGCGUAAAGGGUCCGUAGGUGGCCAACUAAGUCAGACGUGAAAUCCCUCAGCUUAACUGGGAACUGCGUCUGAGACUGGAUGGCUCGAGUGCAGGAGAGGAAUGCGGAAUUCCAGGUGUAGCGGUGAAAUGCGUAGAUAUCUGGAGGAACACCGGUGGCGAAGGCGGCAUUCUGGACUGCAACUGACACUGAACGACGAAAGCCAGGGAGCAAACGGG